rfam:Cellulophaga tyrosinoxydans strain DSM 21164 genome assembly, contig: LX62DRAFT_scaffold00001.1
AUAAUUGAGGAAGGAUUUGACUGAUUGCAACCUCAGAUGCCAUAUUUAUUUUGGUACAAGAAAAAUGCUAAAGCAGUUAUG